AGUUUUGCACAGUGACAGUAUUGUAGCCAAUGAGGUUAAUCCGAGGCACGAUUAUUGCUGAUUGGA